rnacentral:rRNA from 1 species
CAACGCUGGCGGCGUGCCUAACACAUGCAAGUCGAACGCGAAAGCCCCGCAAGGGGUAAGUAGAGUGGCAAACGGGUGAGUAACACGUGGGUGACCUGCCUUAGAGUGGGGGAUAACGUCCCGAAAGGGACGCUAAUACCGCAUAACAUCCUGCCUUUGAAGAGGUGGAGAUCAAAGCCGGGGACCGCAAGGCCUGGCGCUUAAAGAGGGGCCCGCGCCUGAUUAGCUAGUUGGUGAGGUAAUGGCUCACCAAGGCAACGAUCAGUAUCCGGCCUGAGAGGGCGGACGGACACACUGGGACUGAGACACGGCCCAGACUCCUACGGGAGGCAGCAGUGGGGAAUUGUUCGCAAUGGGCGCAAGCCUGACGACGCAACGCCGCGUGGAGGAUGAAGACCUUCGGGUCGUAAACUCCUUUCGAUCGAGACGAACAGCCAUCGGGUGAAUAAUCCGGAGGUUUGACGGUACCGAGAGAAGAAGCCCCGGCUAACUCCGUGCCAGCAGCCGCGGUAAUACGGGGGGGGCAAGCGUUGUUCGGAAUUACUGGGUGUAAAGGGCUCGUAGGAGGCCAACUAAGUCAGACGUGAAAUCCCUCGGCUUAACCGGGGAACUGCGUCUGAUACUGGAUGGCUUGAGUUCGGGAGAGGGAUGCGGAAUUCCAGGUGUAGCGGUGAAAUGCGUAGAUAUCUGGAGGAACACCGGUGGCGAAGGCGGCAUCCUGGACCGACACUGACACUGAGGAGCGAAAGCCAG